rnacentral:misc_RNA from 1 species
GAUGAAGAACGCAGCGAAAUGCGAUACGUAAUGUGAAUUGCAGAUUUCAGUGAAUCAUCGAAUCUUUGAACGCACAUUGCGCCCGCUAGUAUUCUGGCGGGCAUGCCUGUUCGAGCGUCAUUUCAACCAUCAAGCCCUAGGCUUGCGUUGGAGCCCUGCGGCUGCCGCAGGCUCCCAAAUCCAGUGGCGGGCUCGUCGUCGUACCGAGUGCAGUAAACAUCCUCGCUCAGGGAACGUGACGGGUUCUUGCCGUGAAACCCCCCACAUAUCAAGGUUGACCUCGGAUCAGGUAGGAAUACCCGCUGAACUUAAGCAUAUCAAUAAGCGGAGA